CGGAUGCAGUUGACAUCAGAUUUUUAAGUACCUGAGUUCAAAGUUCCAAGUCGCUGAGCUGUUUUAUCCCGUCGCUUCUUAAAUCUGAUAUAUUUCACUCAUAUUGGACACCCUCUGUACCUAUCACGGGAUUGACAGUUGGGAGCUGGACCUUAGUGAUUACAUAUAUCUACAUACAUAUACAUAUAUAUUUGCGGAGGUGUGGUUUGAAAUGUAUAGAGAUGACUCCAUACAUUGCCGAAUGGACCGUAAAUAAACCCACAGUGAAGAAAGCACCUGUGAGGGGAACAAUGGUACGAACACAACAGGCAAGCAACAAGCGGUGAAUUGCACAAGCAACUACACAAAGGAUGGCUGUGGUGCAAACAGAAAUGAGAAGCAACAACUGGAGUUUGCAAAGAAUUCAUUGAAGUAUUAUUAGCAGGAGGCAGUCGGAGGUCGAUAUCUUAAUUAUAGAUUACACUCCUUUCUGAAUACUUUCCCAUCUGGAAAACAAUGGAAAAUGGACCAGUGAAUGUAGAGGAAGACUGGAUGAAGAAUUCCCAGCACCGCAGCCUGAAGACAGAAUAAUGGCAUCAUCAGAUGCGCAGAACACACACUGUACUAACUGCCUAUUUGUUCCUCCAGGAUCAACAAGCUACUCACAGAAUGCAUAUUUUCCCUGGCUAAUUUGCUAAUGUCUCAUAGUGUAUCAAACUGUUUCUUCUUAAUAAACUUAGUAA